CUAAAUUCAUGCUGCUUAGAUGACAUCUGUCUAGGAAUCAUGUGCCAAGCAGACAUGGCCAUGUGUAACCUGAAUUUUGGCUGUGUCUCCCUUCAUCCUU
rnacentral:sRNA from 1 species